GACGAACGCUGGCGGCGUGCUUAACACAUGCAAGUCGAACGGAAAGGCCCUGCUUUUGUGGGGUGCUCGAGUGGCGAACGGGUGAGUAACACGUGAGUAACCUGCCCUUGACUUUGGGAUAACUUCAGGAAACUGGGGCUAAUACCGGAUAGGAGCUCCUGCUGCAUGGUGGGGGUUGGAAAGUUUCGGCGGUUGGGGAUGGACUCGCGGCUUAUCAGCUUGUUGGUGGGGUAGUGGCUUACCAAGGCUUUGACGGGUAGCCGGCCUGAGAGGGUGACCGGCCACAUUGGGACGGAGAUACGGCCCAGACUCCUACGGGAGGCAGCAGUGGGGAAUAUUGCACAAUGGGCGGAAGCCUGAUGCAGCAACGCCGCGUGGGGGAUGACGGCCUUCGGGUUGUAAACCGCUUUCGCCUGUGACGAAGCGUGAGUGACGGUAAUGGGUAAAGAAGCACCGGCUAACUACGUG
rnacentral:rRNA from 1 species